AGAGAGCGAGCAUCCAGGGGGGAGGGGUCUCUCUCUCUAUCGCUCUCUCUAUCUCUCUCUUUCUCUCUCCCCCUCUCUCUCCCUUUCCCCUACUUCUCUCUCCCUUCCUUCCUCUCUCUCCCUCUCUCUCUCUCUCUCUCUCUCUCUAGCGGGCUGCAGCGGACGGAAAUGCCGUUUCCCCUCCGGUAGGCUGGUCUUGAAAGGGGUCCGUUUUCCUUUCAGAUCACCAUGUUGGACAUCCUGGUGCUGAUGUUCUUCGCCAUCAUUGGCCUGGUUUUCCUCUCCUACAUCAUCUACAUGCUGUGAUGGCGGGGGAAGGCGCAGCAGCUGCAGGUCAAGUAGGAUGGAGAGGCUGCACAGCUAACCCAUCCAGGCUGAGGAGGAAACGUGGAUGAUAAUGUCAGGUCCUCUUUGAAGGCGGUACAAAGCUCCCUUUUCCCACCUGGCACCCACUCUCUCCCUGUCUGACACACUCUUCACCCUCCUUCACUCCUCACCAUCCAGUUGCCAGAGGAUGCUGCCCUUCCUUCUUGUUGAAGCAGAUGACAAUGAUUUUUAGGACUUGACUUCCAAAGUUGUGCAAAAAGUGUUUGUACUUGUGUGUGUGAGUGAGAGUAAGAGAGUGAGAAGCUGGUAGUAUUACAUUAUGUUCACUCCUUUUUAAUAGCUUCCCAAAUACAAUACUGCAUUCUGUACAUGUAUGAGCAUGAUAUUGUGUCCACUAUAACAGUGUUUUUGUAAAUAAAGAUCAAAGUCAGUAAUGGAAA